GUAUCUCGUAGUCAACCUGCCCUGGAGACAUGGACAACCCCGGGAAACUGGGAUUAAUCCGUGAUAGGUCAUCUCAUCUGGAAGGAGAGAUGGCUUAAAGGGAUGCGCGGGCUUCUUCUGCGUAUUUGCUCCAGGAUGGGACUGCGUCCGAUCAGGCUGUUGGCGGGGUAAUGGCCCACCAAGCCAGUAACCGGUACGGGCCUUGAGAGAGGUGGCCCGGAGAUGGACACUGAGAGAAGGGUCCAGGUCCUACGGGGCGCAGCAGGCGCGAAACCUUCGCAAUGCGCGCAAGCGUGACGAGGUUAAUCCGAGUGAUUUCCGCUGAGGAGACCUUUUGUCUGCUGUAAAUAGGCAGGCGAAUAAGGGGAGGGCAAGCCUGGUGUCAGCCGCCGCGGUAAUACCAGCUCCUCGAGUGGUCGGGGCGAUUAUUGGGCCUAAAGCAUCCGUAGCCGGUUCCGUAGGUCCUCUGUUAAAUCCAACCGCCCAACGGUUGACCUGCAGAGGAUACCGCGAGACU
rnacentral:rRNA from 1 species